rnacentral:lncRNA from 1 species
GACCAGUAUGACGGGAACCAGUUUGGCGGCCAUUUUGUAAAUGCCCUGAUGAAGGCCUGUAAGGGAGAAACAUGUUGGUAUGUUUUUAUGAUUCUGUAGCCCUCAUGAAAUAAAGACUUUUAUCAUUUGUCCCUCUGAGUGCCUCUGGUUUCCUCAAAGGCAGUUGGAUAUGUACAUUGAGGAGCACCGGAGAGACAGUAUCUUUUUUUUUUCUUUUAAUCAUUUAAAAAAAGAAAUUCAAAGCCUCUUCCGCAUUCCAUGCAAGUCUUUUUACCUAAAUAUCGCAUAUAGUUGGAGACUAUUAUGUUGACAUAUUGACCAGUUGAAUUAAUCUUCAGUAUCCCGCAGCAAAAACGACGGAUCAUUUUAAAAAGGCAGUAUCGUGGACAGCUCACACGGCUACUGGAGGACCUCGGUAUAUAAACGUCCGCCGUGCGUUUCCCCAGCCUCUCCGUUGCGGCCGUCGUUUCAGACUGUUGUGAGGAUGUGAUCAGCUCGUUUGGGCCAAAUUAAUGCUUAAAAUGGCACGACGGAAGGCUGUUCCGAGAUGACUGGAUGACCCGGUCCACUAGCUGUGGUGCCUUCAUGGCCACUAGCUGUGGUGCCUUCAUGGCCGCUGAGAUGGCCUGAUGUUUCACUCGCCGGGUCGCCUGCCGGAGCUGCUCCUGGUUGUUGGCCUGUGACUGGAGCUGCAGCUCUUCUGGUGGAUCACAGGCUCAGGGUAGAAGAACUGGGAGGAAAUGCUGGAGCAGGUGGUGAAACUCUGGAUGGUGAUCUGGUGGACGCAGGAUUUCAAUUCAAAUGGAUCAACUCACACCGAUCCCCUGUUGAAAAGCUCAUGAAUGAUUUUUAUGGCUUGUGACAGAUGUCUGAAAUCUUUAUUAAAGUGUGUCUGUUCAAAUGUGUGUGCUGCUUUUCUGCCACUUAAAGAAUUAAGUUAUAAACGGUAGACUGCUGUAAAAAAAAAAAAAAAAAAACAGGUGUAGCCUGUGAAUCAGGACGCUCGGUGGGGAAUGUGCUGCAGCGGCCAAUGACUAAAAUAACUCCUCAACCUCCAAACUGGGAUUUUUUUUUUUUUUUUUGGGCAAUGGCCUAAAAUAGUUUUGUUUCACUUGAAACGCUUUUAAUACUUCCUCCAGACGUGGACAAAACAGGAUGUCUGUGUCCCUAAAGGCCUUUACUUUGAAAAUGCCCUCUCGUGAAGGCAAUGGUGUGAGCUGAAUAAAGAGAAUAGAUCUUGUUCUACAGUGAAAAGUAUCGCCGCUACCGCGUUCUGGGAAACGUGCUUUUACUUUGGAAGGUGGAGGCGGAUGUGCUUCCCCGUCGCUUCCGUCCUCAGGUAAACGUUGAAGGGAGUGUUCGGCUCCCAGACUGGCGUCAAUGCAACUGAUUUCCUUUUUGCUGCUUCUUUUCAAAAACCAAGAUCUAUAUUUGAUUUCAACAACUUUUUAAGCCUUUGUUUCAAUGGUCACGAGGAUCAUCCUCACGGAGGAAGCAAGCUAAAGGUGAGCCUUUAUCCUUUGUGGCAUUAGCUACUAGCAUAGUCCAGCUGUUCCCAAAAGUCUAAAGCACCAUCAAUUCUGAAGUUUUCCAUGCUCAUAAUGUGAACCUAACUCCUGUGUCGCCAAGGAAUUCACCAGUAAUCGUGUAAGUUAAUGGUGGUUCGUUAAUUCAAGCGAGUGUGUUUUUUUCCCCAGGGGGUGAAAAGUGUUUUUUGGACACUGGAAGAGCCAAAAAACUCCGCCAACAACACAAACUCCGCUUUCAGGUGGUUUUUUUUUUGUGACGAGAUAAUGGUGAGUUCAGAAAACCACCUGUACAGCUGUAAAAGGGCGCCAGGUUCAGCCAGAGGCAGGUAGAGGAGACUCAGGUGUGUCCCUAACAAGUCUUGCAGCUUCACCUGAACACGCAUGUUUUUUACUGGCUGCUCAUCCGGUUGUCUGAGCAGCUGAAGACGCACAAGCUGAAUUCUACAACCAAGUCUU